rnacentral:rRNA from 1 species
AUGCCGUUCAAGAGGUUCGUCGAGAUCGGGCGGGUGGCCCUGGUGAACUACGGCAAGGACUACGGCCGCCUCGUCGUCAUCGUUGACGUUGUCGACCAGAACCGGGCACUUGUGGAUGCUCCCGAUAUGGUCAGGUGCCAGAUGAACUUCAAGCGUCUUUCGCUGACCGACAUCAAGAUUGACAUCAAGCGUAUCCCUAAGAAGGCCACUUUGAUCAAGGCCAUGGAGGAAGCUGAUGUGAAAACCAAAUGGGAGAACAGCUCAUGGGGUAAGAAGCUUGUUGUCCAGAAGAGAAGAGCAUCGCUGAAUGACUUUGACAGGUUCAAGGUCAUGUUGGCUAAGAUUAAGAGGGGUGGUGCUAUCAGGCAAGAGCUUGCCAAGCUCAAGAAGGAGGUUGCUGCUUAG